rnacentral:lncRNA from 1 species
GGUAAUUGAUAUUUUCUAUUUAUGAUUCCAUUUUUUUAAUUAUUAUUUUUACUUUGUAAGUUUUAAUUAAGAUGCUUGAUACAUGGUGCUAACUAGCCAUAAGAAUCAAUUAUCAAAGCACUUUUAUUUUGGAAAACUCUUUUUUUUUUUUUUUUUUUGGUUAGAAAAAGGAAAAAACUUAUUUGAAGUUUUAAAAUUCUCUGUUUUUUUUUUUACGCUGUUGACUAUAUGUGUGUACACAUAUGUAAUACUAAAGUCUUUUUGUGACAAUAUCCACCUAUGUACGUACAAUCAAGUGGACAAUAUGGCUCCAAAUUUCAUUAGUAAUUGAUGUUAACAAUUUUGUUUUAACGUGUUCGUUUUUAUAGGCAAAAUUCAAGUCUCGAGGAGUCGCAAUAUUGGCCUUUUUCUUCUCUUUGACAACCCCAGCCGGGAUAGCAAUAGGCAUUGGAAUAUCAAGUUUUUAUGACGAAAAUGACCCCACUGCUCUUAUUGUUGAAGGGAUAUUCAAUGCAGCAGCAGCUGGAAUCCUAAUAUACAUGUCCUUGGUGGAUCUUCUUGCUGCAGAUUUUAUGAAUCCGAAGAUGCAAGACAAUAAAAGGCUUCAAUUUGGAGCACAUGUUUCUCUUCUUUUAGGAGCUGGUUGCAUGUCCUUGUUAGCCAAAUGGGCUUAAAAAUCAUAGAUAUUUUUUCUGCAAUUUUUGUUUAUCCAAUAGUUUAAUUUGCGGCAGUUUUUGUACAGACAUUUUGAUGGAUGUUUACUAUCUGUAAAAUAACUUAAAUUGAUUAGGGUUAAGUGUAGCGUUUUAAAAUUUAAAGAGGGUAAGUGUCAUAACUCAUUUGAUUUUGGGUGUGAAUCUUUGUAACUUAUAUUUGAAGGGAUCUGUAAUUUUUCCUUGUACAUAUUUUAUUUUAUUUUUGACUAAAGAUCAUUACUCGACGGUGAGCUUUAAAUAAUAAAUUCUACAAAGCCCCUGCCAAAAAGGGGGUAAAAAACAAAAGGAAAGAAAAGAAAAGCUAUGAACUAAUUUGAAAAGAAGAUGAUAAAGAUCAUGGUGAUGAUAUUGACUCAAUUGAGGAAGAAAACUCAAACUCGUAGUGUUUAUCGAUGGCCAUUGAUACAUCAAUAUUACACAUCAAUGUAUGUAUAUACAUACGCACAUCAAUAUUGCUAUGUUUGCAAGUUUAUAAUAAAAAAUAAUUUUGGUAUUCGACCCAAUGUGUUCUUAUAAGAAAAUGACACAUGUCAAAUGAUUACUUAUAUUUUCACUUUCACUUGGUGGUUUGUAUGAACACUUUGUAUAUGCUGUUUUAAUAUCAAAUAUUUCAUAUUAGUUGGGUAUAACCGUAUAAAUUUUAUAUUUUAACUAUACAUAAUUAUAGACUUGAGUGGAAAAUAUAGAUUUAGUUGGUCUUUUAGUGAAAAUAAGGGUAUUACAAACAUUGUCCUUCAUAUGGCAAGCUAGAACAAUAUAUGAAUGGGUCGACGAGGUUAAGUCAAGAGAAACCUAAAAACGCAAGCUGGUUGAAGCCAGCCACUUGCUACUUGCUACUGCCAAAAGAGAGGGAAAACGACAUCGUAAUCCACUAGGUACGGACUACUAAUUAAUUAGCUCAGUUGUCUCCUUUUACUUCCAAAAACGUCCAAACUCAUCUUGUAAAACUUUCAAUAUUCUGAAUUUUGAUUCCUUAAUUUUACUUAAGAAUUUGGUCUUUAUCUAAGUUUUAAAUAAAGUGUUUUAAUAAGUUAUAAAAAAUAAGGGUAAAAGCUCGUUUAAUCCCUAUAUUUUGAAGUUAGUGCCCGUUUAGUCCCUAUAUUUUUAAAAAUACCUCAAACCAUCCCUACCAUUAAAUUAUUGACACUUUUGCCAUUAUCUUUUGUUCCUUUUAACUUAUUUUUAUAAUAUUACCCUAUUAUAAUAAUUUUUUAGACAUUAUUAAAAAGAAAAAAAUAACCCUUUUUUGUUUUUAUUUUAUUUUUGAGUUUAAUUUGAUAAUUUAAUUUUUUAUUAAUAUCCAAAAAAGAAACAUUAUUGUAAAAAUGUAAUAUUGUAAAAGCAAGUUAAAAAUAAUAAAAAAUAAUGGCAUAAGUGUCAAUAUUUAGUAGCAGGGAUGUUUUGAGGUGUUUUUAAAAAUACAGGGACUAAAUGAACACUAACCUCAUAAUAUAGGGACUAAACAAGCUUUUACCCAAAAAAUAAUUAUCAUUUCUCAUAAUUUCAGGGGCAUUCCGAGAAUCGAACUCGGGACCUCUCGCACCCAAAGCGAGAAUCAUACCACUAGACCAAAUGCCCAGCGACAAAGUGAAACUUCCUUACAAAAUAUUAAUCUUAUUUCUAAAUUGAAGUCAUUACACACGCCUUCAUACUUCUUCGUUUCCAUUAAUAAGAAUUUGACUGAGAGAAUGGUGGCAAUUUGAUUCCAUGCAAACAGUCUGAUGGAUGAUCACGACAAAGGUGAAAUUGUUUCUGAGUAAAACUUGGAACAAAACUUGACACGUACAUGAACACAGAGAGUCAAAUUAACAAGCUAGCCAACAUCCAAAAUGGCCUACAAAUUCAUAACAAAACGACAUGGGGAUUUGCCACUUGCCAGAUUCCAAUCUCUAGACAAUGCACACAUCUUUUGGUUGAAACUCGAGCUCUGUUAAAAUAUCUUUUUGUUAAAUAUCUCAAGCUCUGCCAAGGGAGUUGACGUUCAAUCGUUAUCUAAUUCCUAUAUACGUUUCACGUCUCAGGAGCUGAACUAAAGGAUUCAAGUAUAAGAAUAGUAUGUAAUUAUUAAGAUCGUUAACACGUACAAACAUUGCCGAUACUACGAUCAUCAAAUCUGAUUUCAUACUUAACAAAUUAAUUAUUUAUUUAACAAAUUAAUUAGUACCCUAAUUAAUAACUUGAUCAGUGCGGAUAUGAUUUAUGAAACCACGGGGCAACAAAUUGACUACAAGGUAAUAACAUUAAAUGUUGGACUAGUAGCCUGUUACCAUUCAUUCAUUUUUUAUUUUUUUUAACAUUCAUAUAUAAUAUUUAAUAUGAUAUUAAUACAACAUGAUCCCAUGUUACAAGUUAAUUUCAGCAUCAUUGUUAUAGUUUUCAUGUUCGACCUUACAAGCAAACUCCUGAGUCUAUUCAUAUGAGGUGCAAGUGCAAGUAUGCAACUGGCAGAGCUUGAAAAACUUUUUGAGGUUCAUGGUCCUAUGAUAAAGUUAUCAAAAGUAAUUGACAUUAUGCUCUUUAUUUAAUUCUUCUAUAAACUUAUGUCAAAUAAUAGAACCUUAGGAGGGACCCAAUUGGCCAAAUCCCAUCACAGUCUCACAACUGGUCCUGAAGCUUUCUUUUACAUGAACUGCUUAGAAGCAUUUCAGAAUUUUCCUUACCUUUUCUCCUGAAUGAUUUAAGGAAUAAUUGAAAUUAAAAUUGAAUAAUUUUCGUUGCCUUUUUAUCCCAAAAUGGUAUAUUUUCUUGAAUCCAAAACCAGUUUGAAUAUUGAUAUUUGAUGCAGCCCCUUGUAACUACAAAAUAAGAUUUUAGGGUAAAAAACUUUUAAUUAGUUAGGCUAGGGUUUUAUUUUUGACAUAUAUUUUAUUGUUUAAAAGGGAAAACAAAGAAUUAAAUAUAACGUCAUGUUACCCACGAUUUGAUACAAGGAUGAUGAUCCUCUUCUGAUUUGAGCACACCUGAUCUUUUACAGAUCUUGUGUCAUUUGUAUUUUAAUGUUAGUGUAUAAUUAUAAUUUAACUACUUUUUCUUUUUAAUUUAUUAACCACCAAUCAUGUUAAUAAAAUUUACUCAUAAAAAGAUCAGAUCAUGAGAAAAUCUCAAUCCUUGAUACAACUCUCCUUUUUUUUUUUUAAUAUACUUCACACUUUGUAUAAAAAAAUGACCCUUUUUCAUUUUAUUAUUUUAAAAUUGCAUUGACUAAACUGUAAAUAUUGAAUUUUAGAUUUGGUUAGCCAACCAAGAAGAUCGAAAAUCCAGCUAAUACUGUUAUCCGGCUGGCUUGUCAAAGAAAAAAAAAUUAAAUGAGUCAAUUAUUAUUUCAACAUAAUAUCGACAUUGCAAGCUUGACUUCACCAAUUUUAGCCUACAGUUGUAGUGAGAAUGCUUUGAAAUUCCUUUCUGGCUGCUCAGUAUGUCGACAUAUUAUCAACACUUUGCUAUUUUUCAAUCCCUGAGAUUCCCAUCCAAAUUUUCAACUAGCCAGUCCCUAAUUGCAGGCCACUUUUUAAUUCUGUGGUCAAAUUAAUUAUUUCGUCUAAUAAUUACCAUAAUUUUACAAAACAAGAAACAACCCAUGUACAGAAGUUUGAUUCUACUCGUAACUUGAUUCUUACGGAAUCGUGUCCUCAUUAUUUCUUCAAAGCUACUUUUGAGAUGAUCAUCGAACGCUAAAGCGAAUUAAACCUUAAUUGGUACUUAGCGUUUUAAUCCAAUCUCUUCUGUUUGUUCUAUUAAUUUCUUUUAUUUUGUUUUCUUAUUCUCUUUCAGUUUCACUCGAUGGGGUCGGUGCAUGGGUCACAAUGAUUUUAUGAUGCUCUAGAGAUCAACAAUCACGCGCUUUCACAUAAACUCUACGCUAUAAACAAUUUCCUCUCAAAUAUUUUCAUCAUACAAAAAUAAAAAUCGUGAUAUUGUUUUCAGAUUUCAGAUUCUUUAUCAUGAUCACUUCUCAUCGUCUUUUCAUCACUUUCUUUUGCAUUCUUCUAAUACUACUUCCCAACGUAGUACGAGGAGAAUGCACGUGCGAUCCUGAAGACGAGGAUCGAGACAAGACUCAAGCCUUAAAAUAUAAACUCGCCGCAAUCGCUUCGAUACUCGUGGCCGGAGCCAUCGGAGUUUUACUUCCCGUCCUCGGAAAAACUAUCCGGGCACUAAGUCCGGAGAGAAAUAUUUUCUUCCUAAUCAAGGCCUUUGCCGCCGGAGUUAUAUUAUCGACGGGGUUCAUCCACGUGCUUCCCGACGCCUUCGAGAACUUAACGUCGCCCUGCCUCGAUGAACAUCCAUGGGGGGAUUUUCCGUUCACCGGAUUCGCUGCCAUGGUUGCUGCUAUCGGGACUCUGAUGAUUGAUGCUUUUGCAACUUCUUAUGCGACUUCUUAUUAUCGCAAGUCUCACUUUGGUGAAGCGGAGAAUAACGCACCAGAUGAAGAGAAAGUUGGGGAGCAUGCAGGUCACGUGCAUGUUCAUACCCAUGCAACUGAUGGGCAUGCUCAUGGAUUUCUUGAAUAUUCCGGUGAAUCGGAGCUUCUACGACACCGUGUCAUAUCUCUGGUACAACUUAUUUAUUUAUUUUAAAUUUUCACGCAUAUCUAAAGGCGAUGGUGAUUUUUUUUUUUUUGUUUUUAUUUUUGAAGUUUCAUUAUGGUUAUUUUUUCCAUUAGGUUUUGGAGUUGGGAAUUCUUGUGCACUCGGUAAUAAUUGGAAUUUCAUUGGGAGCUUCUGAGAGUCCAAAAACCAUUAAGCCUUUGGUUGCAGCGUUGACUUUUCAUCAAUUCUUUGAAGGAAUGGGUCUUGGUGGUUGCAUUACGCAGGUAAUUAGGAUUUUCUAUUUAUGAUAAUAUUAGGUUUGGCCAAUUUGACAGUUUUCCAUUUUUCUCAUUAAUAUUGUUUUUACUUUGUAAGUUUUAGUUAAAAUGCUUCAUACAUGUACAUGGUGCUAACUAGCCAUAAGAAUUAAUUAUCAAAGCACUUUUUUAUUUCGGAAAACUCUUUUUUUUUUGGGUUAGAAAAAGGAAAAAAACUUAUUUGAAGUCUUAAAAUUCUCUGUUUUUUUUUUUUUUUACGCUGUUGACUGUAUGUGAUACUAAAGUCUUUUUGUGACAAUAUCCACCUAUGUACGUACAAUCAAGUGGACAAUAUGGCUCCAAAUUUCAUUAGUAAUUGAUGUUAACAAUUUUGUUUUAACGUGUUCGUUUUUAUAGGCAAGAUUCAAGUCUCGAGGAGUUGCAAUAUUGGCCUUGUUCUUCUCUUUGACGACCCCAGUUGGGAUAGCAAUAGGCAUUGGAAUAUCAAGUGUUUAUGACGAAAAU